rnacentral:rRNA from 1 species
CGGCAUACAGCUCAGUAACACGUGGCUAACCUGCCCUUGGGACGGAGACACCCCCGGGAAACUGGGGUUAAUUUCCGGUAGGUGAAAAAUUCUGGAAUGAAUUUUCGCUCAAAAGAGGUUUAUGUUAUGCUCAUAUUCGUCGCCCAGGGGAUGGGGCCGCGACCGAUCAGGUUGUUGGUGAGGUAAUGGCUCACCAAGCCUUUUACCGGUACGGGCCGUGAGAGCGGGAGCCCGGAGAUGGGCACUGAGACAAGGGCCCAGGCCCUACGGGGCGCAGCAGUCGCGAAAACUUUGCAAUACACGAAAGUGUGACAAGGCUAUCCCGAGUGCCAUCCGCUGAGGAAGGCUUUUACCCAGUAUAAAUAGCUGGGAGAAUAAGGAGAGGGCAAGUCUGGUGUCAGCCGCCGCGGUAAUACCAGCUCUCCGAGUAGUGUGGAUGUUUAUUGGGCCUAAAGCAUCCGUAGCUUGCUAAGCAAGUCCCCUGUUAAAUCCACCGAUUCAAUCGAUGGUUUGCGGGGGAUACUGUUUGGCUAGGGGACGGGAGAGGUCGACGGUAUUCCCGGGGUAGGGGUGAAAUCCUAUAAUCCCGGGAGGACCACCAGUGGCGAAGGCUGUCGACUAGAACGCGCCCGACGGUGAGGGAUGAAAGCUGGGGGAGCGAACCGGAUUAGAUACCCGGGUAGUCCCAGCUGUAAACGAUGCAGGCUAGGUGUUUGGGCGGCCACGAGCCGCCCUAGUGCCGCAGGGAAGCUGUUAAGCCUGCCGCCUGGGGAGUACGGCCGCAAGGCUGAAACUUAAAGGAAUUGGCGGGGGAGCACCACAAGGGGUGAAGCUUGCGGUUU